rfam:Salmo salar isolate Sally breed double haploid chromosome ssa19, whole genome shotgun sequence.
GUGGGUUACGGUGACAUCUACCCUCAGACUCUGCUGGGUAAGAUAGUUGGGGGUCUCUGCUGUAUCGCCGGGGUGUUGGUCAUUGCUCUGCCCAUCCCCAUUAUCGUCAACAAC